ACACUCCUGCGGGAGGCAGCAGUGGGGAAUUUUGGACAAUGGGCGAAAGCCUGAUCCAGCCAUGCCGCGUGCAGGAUGAAGGCCUUCGGGUUGUAAACUGCUUUUGUACGGAACGAAACGGCCUUUUCUAAUAAAGAGGGCUAAUGACGGUACCGUAAGAAUAAGCACCGGCUAACUACGUGCCAGCAGCCGCGGUAAUACGUAGGGUGCAAGCGUUAAUCGGAAUUACUGGGCGUAAAGCGUGCGCAGGCGGUUAUGUAAGACAGUUGUGAAAUCCCCGGGCUCAACCUGGGAACUGCAUCUGUGACUGCAUAGCUAGAGUACGGUAGAGGGGGAUGGAAUUCCGCGUGGAGCAGUGAAAUGCGUAGAUAUGCGGAGGAACACCGAUGGCGAAGGCAAUCCCCUGGACCUGUACUGACGCUCAUGCACGAAAGCGUGGGGAGCAAACAGGAUUAGAAACCCCGGUAGUCCC
rnacentral:rRNA from 1 species